GUGCUUGCUUUUGCAGCACAUACACCAAAAUUGGAAUGAUACAGGGAUGUGUGUGGCCCUUGUGCAAGGAUGACAUGCAAAUUUGUGAAGCGUUCCAUAUUUUU
ensembl:snRNA U6 U6 spliceosomal RNA